AUUCCUUUCAAUUUUAGGUAAAAGAAACCUUUUUACCAGAUAGUGAUGAGUGGCUACCAUGAUUAAUAAGUGACUAGACCUCAUGGUCCUCCUCAUACUAAAAGGUGAACAGUGCAAGCUGUCGGUGGAUCUACCAUUCUGGGGUCUUGGGGACAGUGGCCUUCUUCUCACAGCUCCCAGUGAAUGCUGCAAUGAUCAUUGGUAGGACUGUUAGGCUUUGUUUCUCAAGGGGAUAAUCUGAUUGGGAAAAGAAUAAGAGUGCAGCUGCAGCCCAUCCUUGUGAAGAAGGUACCAGUGCGCACUCAAAGCCGAGUCUUGAAAAUAAUAGCGAAUGCUGUAUUGGAUAACAGCCAUGCCAGAUACAGAGAAGCCACAGAUGGCAUUGUCACCAGAAAAUGGAAGCACAAAGCUCUUUGGGUAACAGCAAUUCAAGAAUGACUGCAGAGAAAAUCUAUUAAGAAAUUUGAAUGCAGAUUUCAAUAUUUACUCCUUUUCAUUCUCUUCCUCUCUCUCUCUCUCUCUUGCUCGCUUGCUCUUUUUCUCUCUCCCACCUUGUUUUUCUCUCUCUCCUUUUUUUUGCAUACAGUUUCUCAGUAAAAUACAUUUGAUUAAAUUUUAUAACAAACAAGCUUAUGAAAUGCAGAUAUACAAAAAGGAAAAAAUAAGAAGCAUGCAUAAUUCUACAACUGAAAAAUACUACUAAAAUUUGGUAUUUAAACUUUUGAAUGUUUGUCACUGCACUUGCAUGUGUGUGUAAAUAUAAUCUCCAACUCUGCAGAGAAAUACAAGAAUUGUUAUGAACCUUAAUAAACUC
rnacentral:lncRNA from 1 species